AGGAAGUGGAGCAGGGCAGUACAGGUAAUUGACAGGCAGCAGGACAGACAGAAGUGGGAGUUCUGUAGGCUCACUGCAGUGGCCCAACACCUCCACCAUGCCACAACCAACCGACAGAAGAGCCCUGGUAAAUGGCAACCAGAAGUAUGAGGCAACAUUCCACAGUCCACCAUCAAAGUAUUAAAAAGUGUAAAAUGGCCAGCAUGCAGUGAGUAGCAGUGAAUGUGUGUGUGCCACUGAGCUUGUUUGUAGCGAGUUUAUGUAUGUCAGUAAGCAUGUGGCUGUAUGUGUGCAUCAAUAAAUUUGUCUGUAGUGAGCUUGUAUGUGUUUGUGUGUUUCAGUGAGCUUGAACAUGUAGUGAGCUUGUGUUUGAGUGUCAGUGAGCUUGUUUGUAGUGAGCUAGUGUGUGUGCAAAAGUGAGCUUUUCUGUGAAGUUGUGUGUAGUGAACAUGUGAAUGCCAAGUGUCACAGCUUGAGUGUAUGUUUG